GCAGUAAGAAAACUUGGCACCACUUUUUCUUUGAGCGGCCAUGUUUCAAAAAACGAAAAUAUUAAUCAAUUGCUUUGUAUAAAUAUUCUUUGCUUUUGCAAAUUUAAUUAAUUGGACUUUUAAAAAAAUGACCAUAGAAGAUGACAUGGAAGCAUUUCGUGUGUGGGCUACCAAAUUGGGUUGUCCACCAGAUGCAAUACCCAGCGAAGAUGCUCUAAAAUCUGUUUUUAAAUCUCGUCAACGGGAUUACUUUUGCAAUUUAAUGCGUCGUGUCUGUCCGCGACAGGAGGUACAAGAUGUUAAGGAGAAUAUAUUGAUAAAUAAAGUGGAGAAAAUCAAAGGACUUGUUGUGCCGAUCUCUGAGCGUGCAUUUCUACCACGAGAAAUGCAAAUGCAUCUUAAGGUCCAGGAUCUAAAAAAGAAGCAAAAAGAUUUAUUGCAACGUUUUGAUGAACGCAAAAAGGAAUAUGAAGCGCUGGCCGCCACCAUUAAAACUAAAAAUAUACAUGAAAUAAAUUUGGAAAAUAAAUGCGAUAUUUUGGAGGCAAAAGUACAUAUCUUGGAUCUUAAGUCUAAAGCCUUAGAUAAAGAAAUCGAAAGAGAAGAAGAGAAUAGGGAAAAGAUAAAAGCUACAAUGCCAGUCAUAUUAAGCAAUGAGAAUAAAAGUGAAAGUAAAGCAAGCGAGGCAGUAAAUGAAGCUCUCAAAGAACUGGAAGAUUUUUAUACAUUUUGUGAAAAUAAUACUAAAGCCUCCGAAUUACAAGAAGCUAAAAACAAUUUAUGGACCAAAUUGCGUAAAAUCUUAUCCAAUAUACCAGUCUUUCUCAUUUUUAAUGCCAUUAUGCGCCUAAAAGAAGAUCAAUUGCAAUAUAUAAUGUCUUUAAAUAAAACUGCCACGAAUGAGUCGCAUUUAGCCAGCGCCACCAAUAAUCGUGAAUCUUUAACGAAUUUUGAAUUGAAUUUGAUGAAAACAAAAUCGAAAUUUUUAAGUCGUGUGGGUGAAUAUUUGUCGGCAUGUCAAGAACGUAAACGUUUGGAAGAGCAAUAUGUUAAAGCAUUUAGCGAAUUUGAAGAUAAACUUUUAGAAAAAGUCAAAAUAUUUAAUGCUGAUACAGAUUCGGAACAAAAUGAAGCCAUUAUGCGUAAUUAUGUUAUACAAUACUAUUCAUUGAAUUUUACCAAGGGUCAAAAUGAAUAUAUAGCACAACAGAUUGAAAUGCUAAAAGCGGAAAUAGAUAACUCAAAUAAACAUCUGGAUAAUCAUGAUUUUCUUCUUGGCUCUAUAAAACAAGUUUACGAUGAAAUAAGUACUUCUGUUAAUCGUUUACAAUAUGAUAUGAUGCAACUGUCACAAAUAAAAGACAAAAUUAUUUAUUCGAAAAAUAUUAUGAAACUUCAACUGGAUGAUUUAGAAGCCACCACUAAUGUUAAAUCAAGUUUCAUACCCACCAAGUUAAAACUAAACAAUAAUCAUUCCCUAUUGGGCGUUGACAGUUUUGAGAUGACUAACGACAAUGUUUUCUGUAGUACAAAAUUAGAUUUUGAUUCUACUAUUUCCCCCUUGAAUAAUUCAACGUUACGUCGAACAUUUGGAGCUGGUGAUGUUACAUUAAUGCCUCAGGCUCAAAAUAAAAUAUUGACUCCCCAUACUAUGGAAUUGAAUGCAUUUUGUGACUUAUCAUUGGAGCAUUUGUCUUGUAUAAGCAAAGAAUGUGCAUUUUAUUUAUCACCCAAUCCCUUAAUAAUUGAAUCACGUGAACUCACUUCGACAAUCCAGCUAGCUCCGGGCAUUUUAUUAACACCCUUUGGUGCUUUACAGGAAGUUCGUAAUCGUAUUUUGUGGGCGGAUUUAAUUGCACAACAUUCAAAUGAUUUGAAAAUAAAUUUGGACACAUUUUUGGUUGAUUUACAAGCCUUUAAAGUACGCGCUAAACAGCAGCAUGAUCGUAUUAUUGAAAUAUUAGACAAAAUUGAUGUUUGUUCCAUAAAUUCAUUGCGUUGUCUACAGAAAUUGACAAAAACUUAUGAUUUCUUAAUUGAAAAUCCUCUACGCCACUUUAUACCCUCAACAAAAUUGUUCAACAAUCAAUCAUAUGCUGAUUAUGAAGCUGAACUGCUCAUGUAUAUUCGUAUGGCCACAACUGGAAAUUCCAUUAAGUAAAUUAUUUAUAUUUGAAGUGGUACAAUUGGCAUGCUAAUUUUAAGGGAAUGUUUACGUUUGUAUGUUUUGUUGAGCGGCAUUUUUUUUAAGAUAUUUAAUAACGAAAACCUCAGUCCCCUUUGUAAGGAGAGAAAAAAGACAUUGAUUGGAAUUAGUUUAUAAUAGACUCAAACAACGCAAGAGCACGAUUUGGAGCAUGAUUUGAUGUGUGCAAAAAUGAUGGCGAUUUUAGCUGUUAAUACAGCGGGUAGAAAUGAAUAAAAAGAAAAAAGUUUAAAAUGUAUUUUAAAUUGUAACGC